GAUGAACGCUGGCGGCGUGCCUAAUACAUGCAAGUCGAGCGAACAGACGAGGAGCUUGCUCCUCUGACGUUAGCGGCGGACGGGUGAGAAACACGUGGAUACCCUCCUUAUAAGACUGGGAUAACUUCGGGAAACCGGAGCUAAUCCCGGAUAAUAUAUUGAACCGCAUGGUUCAAUAGUGAAAGACGGUUUUGCUGUCACUUAUCGAUGGAUCCGCGCCGCAUUAGCUAGUUGGUAAGGUAACGGCUUACCAAGGCAACGAUGCGUAGCCGACCUGAGAGGGUGAUCGGCCACACUGGAACUGAGACACGGUCCAGACUCCUACGGGAGGCAGCAGUAGGGAAUCUUCCGCAAUGGGCGAAAGCUUGACGGAGCAACGCCGCGUGAGUGAUGAAGGUCUUCGGAUCGUAAAACUCUGUUAUUAGGGAAGAACAAAUGUGUAAGUAACUAUGCACGUCUUGACGGUACCUAAUCAGAAAGCCACGGCUAACUACGUG
rnacentral:rRNA from 1 species